rnacentral:ncRNA from 2 species
AAGUAAUAGGAAGAACAGGUCUUGUGCCGGGCUCCGUCAGGGGCAGCAGUUUAUCUUCUGCGGGACUUCC